rnacentral:lncRNA from 1 species
UCUUCCUAAAAAAUAAGACAAUAAUUUAAGUGGACUUAGCGGAGAAAAGUUCAAUAGAAGCAAUUAUAAUUAUAUUCAAUCUGAUUACAAUUAAAGGCCAAAUCUUUAUUCAUGAUUUUUAUCUUUUAUUCAAAUUGAGGGCGAAACACGAACGUAUCCACCUAUAUAAAUACGUGUAGGUAUGUACUUUGCAUGAAAUAUUAAAUGUUAGAUCUUCUUUCAUUUGCUAUAUUUACAUCAACAAUAGUUAUAUAAUUGAGUAAGACUCAGCCUUGAAAUAACCUCCUUAUUUAACCCUGUAAGUAUUAACGACCACUAGGUUAAUGCAUGGUCAGAAUUUUCUGAUUUUUGAUAUGAUAGUUUCCUUGCUCAUUUCUAUGAUCAACAAUGGCUUAUUAAAAAAAAAUCGAGAUUUCAAAGCAUUUGAACAUUACUUUGUAUUCAGUUACUGUUCUUGAUAAUGUAAUUUUAAAAAAAAAUAUUUCCAUUUAACACCUCUAAAAUUAAGUUGAGUUUGUAAUUUUUCAAAAAAAAUAAAAAAUAUCAACAGCACUUUUUGAUAAAAGAAUAUGUUAACUAAACACUGAACGAUCAUUAAUAUGAAAUUUAGAUUUUUUCAGUAUUUUGAAUUUUAAUUUCAAUUGACUACAUGAAGUUUUUGAGCCCAAAAAAUGUGUAACUGCUCAAAUCAAGGAUUCCCAAAAAUCAUUCAUCAAAUUGGUACGGUAAAAUAAUAUCCAACUCAGUCAGAUAAAUAAGUAAAUUAAUGUGUGAACCAAAUUACCUGAUCUCUAGCCAUCCACAUAUUGGAUGAAACUGGAUACGAUUUUGCGUCGGGAUCUUCUAGUGGGCAAGAGUCGAGAACACACCAGGAUUCAAGAA